rnacentral:rRNA from 1 species
AUUGAACGCUGGCGGCAUGCCUUACACAUGCAAGUCGAACGGUAACGGGCCUUCGGGUGCCGACGAGUGGCGAACGGGUGAGUAAUGCAUCGGAACGUACCUUUCAGUGGGGGAUAACGUAGCGAAAGUUACGCUAAUACCGCAUAUUCUGUGAGCAGGAAAGCAGGGGAUCGCAAGACCUUGCGCUGAUUGAGCGGCCGAUGUCAGAUUAGCUAGUUGGUGAGGUAAAGGCUCACCAAGGCGACGAUCUGUAGCGGGUCUGAGAGGAUGAUCCGCCACACUGGAACUGAGACACGGUCCAGACUCCUACGGGAGGCAGCAGUGGGGAAUUUUGGACAAUGGGGGCAACCCUGAUCCAGCCAUGCCGCGUGAGUGAAGAAGGCCUUCGGGUUGGUAAGGACUCUUUCGGUCCGGGGUAAGGAAAUACGGCAUGGGCGAAUAACCCUCGUGUGGAGUGACGGUACCGGAACGAAGAAG